ACAAUAUCUACUAGAGAGACAUGGCCCAUCUUACUAACAAGACAUAGACAUACCAACAAUGUGACACCCAAUAACACAGCCGCUUUGAGAGUUUAGGAGACGACCAUUUACAUAGACAAGGUUGUGUGGUGUUGAUAGUUUAAAUCCAACAAUUGACAUUAAUUGAUUCCUCUUAGUCGUCUAUAUUUAUAGGUGUUACUUACAUACAUUGCUGGCCAGCCGGUGAAAAAUAGAGUUCUUGACUCAGUCCACAACCAUCCUGAAUCUCUUUAGCCCUGCAUGAGAAAUAUAUAUGCCUAUAGAAAGAUAUUCUCAACAAACUUAAAAAAUCAUCAUGGAAUGCUCACAAAUUUUGGCAGCAUGGCACUCAGAAGGCAUAUAAAACCUCUUUUCAUGCACACUGAAUUUACAAAGUUGCUGUCUUGAUUAUUAUGAUCAGUGUUGAUAAUAUGUUUCUGGCAGAUAUUCUGUGUAGCUGAUCCUUGUUAUGACAAGGCACUGCAAUAGUUUUAGAGCUUCCUUUUUGGUUUGGUUUCUGAAGAGAAAUUAGCGCUAAUGGAUGGAAUGUAUUGGCUUAACAAGUAAACUCUUUUACAUAACAUGAAUGUGACAGGAACUAGUUUUGUCUUUUUGUAUGAGUUACUGUCUUUUUUUUAAUGAAAUCUCUAAUGUCAAAAAUAUGAAACUGAAAAGUAUAUACUUCUAGGAGAUUCAAAAACCUUUUUUGUUGUAUAUAGUUCAUCAUCAAACACAGCCCACAAAGUAUUAAGAAGAGUGGAAUCACAAAUUUGUGUUAUGGUAAAUUUUGUAAAUUGACGACAAAAAAGGAAAAAUGGUAAAAGAAAAUAUAUUAAAUCAACCAAAAAUAUAAUAAAAUCAUAACUUUAAGCUUCUGUAUUAGGGUUUUUGUGUUAUGCCGCCUCCUAUACUCACUAUAUAUAUAACUCGAGUUUCUCUUCUUUUCUUAACAUCCUGUUUCUACUCUUCUCUGAUAUUAGCGGCGGCGGAUUGGACCAGAAAUUGCAUCCGGUUUGACCGCUUUCAGUUUCUUUCGCUUAAGGUAUCUAACUUGUCCGUAACAGAGUGAAUACAACCAUUGAUGAUACUAUCAGACGAGUGUUGUUAAAUCUUGAUCCUUGCAACGUUGAGAUUGAAAUUCAUUUGGGCUUUGGCACAAAAGAAUUUGUUACUUCGGUUAUCAGAUAUCCUUGUUGGGUUUCAUUCAAAUCUAAUCACUGAUAAGAGUAUCCAGGAACAUUGUUUUGCUAUGGGUUGACUUCAUCAAGCUUUUGUCUUUUUUUGAUCAUUACAGUCAGAUCUUAUUUGCAUGUAUGAGCGAAAGAGGGAUUGUUGGAAGUGUUUGUUAUUGUAAUCGUUGCAUGUAUGUUAUUUAAAUUGUUGCAA